UAGCUCAGUGGUAGAGUACCUGUCUAGCAUUCAUGAAGCCCUGGGUUCAAUCCCCAG
rnacentral:tRNA from 1 species